rnacentral:rRNA from 1 species
UACGUAGGGUGCGAGCGUUAAUCGGAAUUCUGGGCGUAAAGGGUGCGCAGGCGGUUCUGCAAGUCAGGCGUGAAAGCCCCGGGCUUAACCUGGGAAUGGCGCUUGAAACUACAGGACUGGAGUAUGGCAGAGGGAGGUGGAAUUCCGACGUGUAGCGGUGAAAUGCGUAGAGAUGUGGAGGAACACCGAUGGCGAAGGCAGCCUCCUGGGCCAACUACUGACGCUCAUGCACGAAAGCGUGGGGAGCAAACAGG